UCCCAAUAUUCUGGGUACAUCCCAAUAAUUAAUAUGAUAAAAAUCAUUUUAGCAUUUUGGUAAAACUUAGAAAGCUACUGAAUUUGUCAAAAUGGCUUAUUCUCAUAUUCUGCACUCAGUCAUGCGUCAUGUGUCAUUUUUGACAAAUGCCAAGUGUUUUUGGAAGCCCUGUAUGAGGGGGGGGAAAAGAUCCCCAGAUUGUGAUAAAUACUUUGUCAUACUCCACAAAAGCAACUACAUUUAUUUUUUCUAUUGACGUGAAAUUCACAUAAGAUAAAAUUAAUUAUUUUUAGAUGAACAGUUCUGUGUUUACAGUGAACACCUCAGUGGCUUUUAGUAUAUUUACAGUGAUGUACGAUACCACCUCUGUGGAGGUCCACAACAUUUUCAUCACCCCAAAAGGAAGUCCGGAUCCAUCAAGCAGUUUUCUCCAUUUCCCUCUCCCUCCAGCCCCUGGCAGCCACCAGCCCGCUUUUCUAUCUUUGUGGAUUUGCCUAUUUUGGAUAUUACACAUCCGUAGAAUCAGAGAACAUGAGACCCUUUAUGUCUGGCUUCUCUCACUUCGCAUGGGAUUUUCAAGGUUUAUCCACAGGGAGCAUCUGUCAGUGCUUCACCCCUUUGAGCCUGAAUACUGUUCCAUUGUGUGGCUAUACAGAGCCUGCCUGAACUGCGGGGAGGGGACCCAGAACCCAUCUACCUAUGGGAGGAGUGUCAGAGAGUUGGUGGCCAUCCUUACAACACCACAAUAAGUAAAAUGAAAUCCUUUUUUCCUCUUGCACUUUUUUUUUGGUGGGGGCAGGGAUGCGGAGCACAGAUAGUUGAAUUUGCACGACCUCAGCGUGACUAAGUAGGUCUCGGCUGCACAGCUGCUCAUGGCUUCUGGGCACGGAGGGCCUCCUCCCAGCCAGGCACCUGCACGAUUUCUCAUCAUCACAACACCAUGAAGUGUAGAUGCCAUUAUGCCCAUUUCAAAGGAGAGACCCAGAGAGAUUAAGGAACUUGUCCAGUGGCCAGGCACAGUGAUGCCAUGCCCCGGCUUUUCCCUCACUUCCCGUGUUUUUCCCCUUUGUUGGGAGAUCUUCCUGGGAUGGGGCCAUGGCUACAUGCUAGAGUUUCCCGUGCUGAGUCAAUGCCAGAGAGAGUGGGUGUGUCCACACGAGAACCAGUGAGCAGUAGCUGGGAAAAGAGCAUCUGAGAAGCGGGAAGACAGAGCUUGUUUGAGAAGAGCCUUCAGCGGUGGUCUCCUUGCCGGGGUCCCUGCUCUCAGGCCCCCCAGGGCUGCAGCUGUGUCCAUCUAGUCAACCACCCUGUAGGAAACCCUACUCCUCAAGCUUGUCUCGCAUCAGCUUUAUUGAGAUAUAAUUGGCAUACAACAUUGUGUAAAGUUAAGGUGUACAGUGUGUUGAUUUGAUAUCGACUGCAAAAUGAAUAGAAUCUUCUGGACCCUUAUUUGGAUAAGGAUAACUUGGUCAAGUGUGUGAUGAUCCCGGAGUGGGCCCUAGUCCAACAUGACCGUGUUCUUACAAGAAGGGGAAAUUUGGACAUGGAGAUAGACCCACACUCAGGGAGAGUGCCAUGUGAAGAUGAAGGUGCAGAUUGGGACGAUGUAUGUACAUAUCAAGAAAUACAAAGAUUGCCAACAAACUGUUAUUGUGAAGGUGAAAGGCCUGGAACAGAACCUCCCUCAGAGGGAACCAACCCUACUAACACCUCAGUCUCAGAUUUCCAGCCUCCCGAAUUGAGACAAUAAAGUUCUGUUGUUUGAGCCAUCCAGGUUGUGGUGCUUUGUUACCCAAGCCCCAGCUGCAACCAGAAGUCAGCCAGAUGCAGCAGAUCUGAGCAGGGCAUGGAACUGUUGAGAAAUGCUCAGAGACGUGAAGGAAGUAUCAGGGGCCCCCAGGGACUCACACGUACGUAAGAAACUUUGGAUACUGGAUAAGCCCAUCGUUCUGGCCAAGGUCUCCUGCUGCUUCCAGACCUAAGGGAGAGUCACGGACCCUUGGAAAACCUGGACCCCUUCAGCCUCUCUGCCCAUGGGGAUUUUGAGCAUCUCUGAAAAUCAGAAAGUGGCCUCCAUUUUAUUGGGGGCAGAAUCAAUUUAAAUUGUGGCGGCUUGUCUUCCAGCUGUCAGCUCGGGCCAGAACAUCGCAUAUUUUCCAUCAAUAAUUCAACGAUCUCAGAAAUAGAGGCUCCAGGGAUUCCUUGGGGAGCUGACUGGUUCCAUUCAUUAUUUAGCGGGUACUUACAGCCUUGCCCCUGAGUGCCGGAGAAUCCUGCUCCAGGCUGGAUGCCUUCCCCAUUCACUCCUUCUCCCUGCCCCUCUGCCUUCGGUGUUCAUUUUCUUUUUCUCCUCUUUUCUCCGAGGCUGCUUCCUGUCAUCGGGCAUGGAUACCUUCCAGAUUUUACAGUUUCCCGCAUCUCUAUCUUGCUGUCCAGCACAGGCUGAGAUGCUAAAGUCUAAGAUGAAAGGUGUAUUUAAGAAUUCUUUUAGCUCUCCACCUUGCUUAAAAAGGGUUUGUGUGUAGCAACACAUAGAGGUUUUGUUUGUUUGUUGCUUAUUUUUUUUUCAAGAUGCUUGUGAAUUGUUCAAACAGGGCCUCUUGGCGAGGCAGCUGGGAGAAGGAUCGCAGCAUUCCUUCUGAUGGCUCCUUUGCACCCACUAGUUGCCCUGGAGCUGCUGGUUUUGUGCGUGGUAGAGGAGAGGAGCGGGUGGGGGGCUGUUCAUUGUGUAGCGGCCACUGGAGAGACGACACCCAGGGACAGCACCUGCGACAAGACCAGUGGGCAGCAGCGGUGGUGAGACAGUUUUUGGUGGCAUGUCGGGCAGUAGACAGGAGUGAGUGGUAUUUGGAGCACAGGAGAAUUAACACUGAAUACCCCAUGGCGACUAAUACACACUGGUUUGAGGGCACAGAGGGGCCUCCUUGAAGUAACUGGGAGAACUGAACAGAGAAAGGAUGAUGGCAGGGUCUAUGGGGCUUCAGUCAAGGGGCUGGGGGCUCAGAGCUACUGUACUUUGACAUUGAUGUUGAUCUGAUUUGGAACUCAUAGCCUAUAGAAGCCUGCAGCAUGACUUAGAUGCUAAAUACAGGGCAAUUCACAGAAUAGCUGUUGGUCACUGUAAAAUAUUUAUUAUUCAGUAUUCUGGUGGCGUACAGCUAGGAAACAAAAUGUCCUGACACUGAAUGGUUUAAAACAACCAUUUAUUUUGCUCCUGAUUUUGUAGGUGAGGAAUCUGUGGAGGGCUUGGCUGAAUGGUUUAUCUCUGCUCUACAUGGUGUCAUUUGGAGCAACUGGGGAAUCCACUACCAAAAGGGCCUUUUGCUCGAAUGUCUGGCACAUCUAGUGCUUCGUGGCCCCUCUCUUCUCAGGCAAUAUCUCGUCCUCCAGGGCCUGUGCACGUAGCUGACAUUCCCAUGGCAUGGUGGUCUCGGGGAGGCUGCAUUUCUUACAUGGCGGCUAGCUUCCAAGAGACAGGAGGUGGAAAAGGCCAGACCAUCCAAGAGUUGUCACAAGAACUGGCA